AACGAACGCUGGCGGCAGGCUUAACACAUGCAAGUCGAGCGCCCCGCAAGGGGAGCGGCAGACGGGUGAGUAACGCGUGGGAAUCUACCUUUUGCUACGGAAUAACUCAGGGAAACUUGUGCUAAUACCGUAUGUGCCCUUCGGGGGAAAGAUUUAUCGGGGUAUGAUGAGCCCGCGUUGGAUUAGCUAGUUGGUGGGGUAAAGGCCUACCAAGGCGACGAUCCAUAGCUGGUCUGAGAGGAUGAUCAGCCACAUUGGGACUGAGACACGGCCCAAACUCCUACGGGAGGCAGCAGUGGGGAAUAUUGGACAAUGGGCGCAAGCCUGAUCCAGCCAUGCCGCGUGAGUGAUGAAGGCCCUAGGGUUGUAAAGCUCUUUCACCGGUGAAGAUAAUGACGGUAACCGGAGAAGAAGCCCCGGCUAACUUCGUGCCAGCCGCCGCAGUAAGAC
rnacentral:rRNA from 1 species